rnacentral:rRNA from 1 species
UUCCGGUUGAUCCUGCCGGAGGUCACUGCUAUCGGGGUUCGAUUAAGCCAUGCGAGUCGAGAGGGUUCAGACCCUCGGCGGACUGCUCAGUAACACGUGGAUAAUCUGCCCUAUGGUGGAGGAUAACCCCGGGAAACUGGGGAUAAUACUCCAUAAGUCAGGAGUACUGGAAUGUCUCCUAACUGAAAGUUGCGGCGCCAUAGGAUGAAUCUGCGGCCGAUUAGGUAGUUGUUGGGGUAACGGCCCAACAAGCCCGUAAUCGGUACGGGUUGUGGGAGCAAGAGCCCGGAGAUGGAAUCUGAGACACGAUUCCAGGCCCUACGGGGCGCAGCAGGCGCGAAAACUUUACAAUGCAGGAAACUGUGAUAAGGGAACCCCGAGUGCCCGUACACGCGGGCUGUCCCGGUGUUUAAAACACAUCGGAAGAAAGGGCCGGGCAAGACCGGUGCCAGCCGCCGCGGUAAUACCGGCGGCUCGAGUGGUGACCACUUUUAUUGGGCUUAAAGCGUUCGUAGCUUGAUUUUUAAGUCUCUUGGGAAAUCUCACGGCUUAACUGUGAGGCGUCUAAGAGAUACUGGGAAUCUAGGGACCGGGAGAGGUAAGAGGUACUUCAGGGGUAGAAGUGAAAUUCUGUAAUCCUUGAGGGACCACCGAUGGCGAAGGCAUCUUACCAGAACGGCUUCGACAGUGAGGAACGAAAGCUGGGGGAGCGAACGGGAUUAGAUACCCCGGUAGUCCCAGCCGUAAACUAUGCGCGUUAGGUGUGCCUGUAACUACGAGUUACCGGGGUGCCGAAGUGAAAACGUGAAACGUGCCGCCUGGGAAGUACGGUCGCAAGGCUGAAACUUAAAGGAAUUGGCGGGGGAGCACCACAACGGGUGGAGCCUGCGGUUUAAUUGGACUCAACGCCGGGCAGCUCACCGGAUAGGACAGCGGAAUGAUAGCCGGGCUGAAGACCUUGCUUGACCAGCUGAGAGGAGGUGCAUGGCCGUCGUCAGUUCGUACUGUGAAGCAUCCUGUUUAGUCAGGCAACGAGCGAGACCCCG